rnacentral:lncRNA from 1 species
CCAAGCACUGGGAAAGAGGAGUUACGAUGGAAGAUGAUGAUGAUGAAAAAGAUGAUAACUGCAUUCUUGACUGGACUUAAGGAGGUGCCUUUGCAGAUGUUGCAAUGGGCGAGGCUAAAGAAAAGAUGGUUGCAGACAUCCUACCGAUGAUCUAGGUCAGGUGUUGCGAGAUGUAAAGGAAGACUGCGAGAAUGUGAAGGAGCCAAAAAAGUUUGAGCGUAUGUUAGAUGAUCAUAACAAAUU